rnacentral:rRNA from 1 species
AUUCCAGCUCCAAUAGCGUAUAUUUAAGUUGUUGCAGUUAAAAAGCUCGUAGUUGGAUUUCGGGUUGGCUUCAGCGGUCUCGCUUUGCGUUUGUACUGCUGCAGCCUACCUUCUUGUCGGGGACGGGCCUACGGGCUUAAUUGCUUGGGGCCCGGAGUCGACGAUGUUACUUUGAGUAAAUUAGAGUGUUCAAAGCAAGCCUACGCUCUGAAUAUAAUAGCAUGGGAUAACACGACAGGACUCUGGCCUAUCGUGUUGGUCUGUAGGACCGGAGUAAUGAUUAAGAGGGACAGUCGGGGGCAUUCGUAUUCCAUUGUCAGAGGUGAAAUUCUUGGAUUUAUGGAAGACGAACAUCUGCGAAAGCAUCUGUCAAGGAUGUUUUCAUUG